GAUGAAGAACGCAGCGAAAUGCGAUAAGUAAUGCGAAUUGCAGAAUUCCGUGAGUCAUCGAAUCUUUGAACGCACAUUGCGCCCCCUGGUAUUCCGGAGGGCAUGUCUGUCCGAGCGUCAUUAGUCCAAUCUCAAGCCCGGCUUGUCGUUGGGUCGCACCGCCCGGGGCGGUGGACCCGAAAUAUAAUGACGGGGUCUAGCGGACCGUGGGCGCAGCGAGCUUUUACAGCACGCGUCCCGGCGUCAUCUAGACGCGUCUCCAACCAUACUCUCUGUAGGUUGACCUCGGAUCAGACAGGAUUACCCGCUGAACUUAAGCAUAUCAAUAAGCGGAGGA
rnacentral:misc_RNA from 1 species